rnacentral:rRNA from 1 species
AGAGCACGUGGUGGAUGCCUUGGCGAUGAUAGGCGACGAAGGACGUGAUAGCCUGCGAUAAGCUUCGGGGAGCUGGCAAAUAAGCUUUGAUCCGGAGAUUUCCGAAUGGGGAAACCCACCUAGCAGUAGGUAUCGCAUGACGAAUACAUAGUCAUGCGAGGCGAACCGGGUGAACUGAAACAUCUCAGUAGCUCGAGGAAAAGACAUCAACCGAGAUUCCGAAAGUAGUGGCGAGCGAAAUCGGAAGAGCCUGUUAGUGAUAGCACAAGACUUAACGGAACGACUUGGAAAGGUCGGCCAUAGCGGGUGAUAGCCCCGUACGUGAAAAGACCUGUGUGGUACUGAGCUAACGACAAGUAGGGCGGGACACGAGAAAUCCUGUCUGAAUAUGGGGGGACCAUCCUCCAAGGCUAAAUACUCAUCAUCGACCGAUAGUGAACAAGUACCGUGAGGGAAAGGCGAAAAGAACCCCGGGAGGGGAGUGAAAUAGAUCCUGAAACCGCGUGCUUACAAAAAGUAGGAGCCUCGAAAGGGGUGACUGCGUACCUUUUGUAUAAUGGGUCAGCGAGUCAAUCUUUACAGCAAGCUUAAGCUCUAAAGUGUAGGCGCAAUGAGAAACCAUACCAGUUGUAAGGAUUGGACCCGAAAUCGAUUGAGCUAGCCAUGGGCAGGUUGAAGCGGCGCCCGACAGCACGUGGAAGACCGAAUUCGUUACUGUGGCAAAAGUAUGAAAUGACCUGUGGCUAGGGGUGAAAGGCCUAUCAAAAUCGAAGAUAGCUGGUUUUUUGCGAAAUCUAUUUAGGUAGAGCGUUCUUCAGCAAUCGUGUUUGUAGGGGGUAGAGCACUCGAUGGGCUAGGGUGGCCCAAAGCUUGACCGAUCCCAAGGAAACUCCGAAUACCUACAAACAAUAGAGUGCCCUAUUCUCCUAAAAGAAGCUUGGUAACUUCUUAUUGCUAUGAGUUCCAAUCCCCUAAAGGGAUAUUCAUUUCAAUUCAAGAGAGAAUAGAGGCCAUACGCUGAAAGCAGACAGACUUUGGGUGAUAAGGUCCAAGGUCAAAAGGGAAACAGCCCAGAUCGUAUGCUAAGGUCCCAAAGCAAUCACUUAGUGGAAAAGGUGGUCGCUAGGCGAUUACAACCGGGAGGUGGGCUUGGAAGCAGCCAUCCUAUUAUGACAGCGUAACAGCUCACUGGUCUAGCUUAGCGGCGCCUAAAAUGAACCGGGGCUCAAGUGAUUCACCGAAGCAACGAAAUUGAAUCGAGGGAGCUGAUACGAUUUUGAAGAAUUGUACCGAUCUGCGACCCCAUUCAAUUGGUAGCAAAACGUUCUAUAAGCCCUGUGAAGGCAACUCGUAAGAGAUGCUGGAGGCAUUAGAAGUGAGAAUGCUGACAUAAGUAACGAUUAAUAAUGUGCAAAGCAUUAUCGCCGAAAGUUCAAGGGUUUCAUUGUUCAGUCAAUCUGCAAUGAGUCAAUAAGGCCCCUAAGUUUCAUGCUGAAGAGCAUUGAUCGAUGGGUAGGCUGGGAGCGACGAAGAGAUCGCUGAUGGGGCUAUUGCCCCCUGCUUCGCUCCACUCCUCUCUGGGGAGUGGGGCUCUGCGCUCAAUCAUCUUUCUGAUACAGAACACGCGGCAAUCGCGCCUUGCAGGAGUGAUUUGAUUCGAGACAAUCCUUUUCCUAGAAACAACUCCAGCCACAACUAUACCUUACCCCAAACCGACACAGGUGAACAAGUAGAGAAUACUAAGGCGUUGGGACAAUCACCUUGAAGGAACUCGGCAAAAUCACUCCGUAACUUCGGGAGAAGGAGGGCUCUCAAGAGAGAGUGGCACAGAAUAGGGGGUGGCGGCUGUUUAUUAAAAACACAGGACUCUGCAAAGUACCAAUACCAUGUAUAGAGUCUGACACCUGCCCGGUGCUGUAAGGUGAAUAGGAGAGGUAAGUAUGCUUCGAAUGAAAGCCCCAGUAAACGGCGGCAGUAACUCUAACUGUCCUAAGGUAGCGAAAUUCCUUGACGUAUAAUUAACGUCCUGCAUGAAUGGUGUCACGACUGCCCCGCUGUCUCCAAGGUGAGCCCAGUGAAUUUGAAUUCUCCGUGAAGAUGCGGAGUACCAGCGGCUAGACGGUAAGACCCCGUGCACCUUUACUAUAGCUUUGCACUGGCCACCCCGGUAUGAUGUGUAGAAUAGGUGGGACCAUACAAUUGGGAUCGUGAAAUACCAUCCUUUAUUCUGGGGGGGUCUAACUAUAAGAAUGUAGGACCUUGCAUAGUUGGUAGUUUCCCUGGGGAGGGGUUCUCCUAAAGAGUAACGGAGAAGUGUGAAGGUAAGCUCAAGCUGUGCUUGCGCGCAGCUGUAGAGCGUAAUGGUACAAGCUUGCCUGACUGUAAGACCUACAAGUCGAACAGAGACGAAAGUCGGCCAUAGUGAUCCGGGGGCCCCGUGUGGAAGGGCCCUCGCUCAACGAAUCAAAGGUACGCCGGGGAUAACAGGCUAAUGACCCCCAAGAGCCCAUAUCGACGGGGUCGUUUGGCACCUCGAUGUCGACUCAUCACAUCCUGGGGGUGAAGAAGCUCCCAAGGGUUCGGUUGUUCGCCGAUGAAAGUGGUACGUGAGUUGGGUUUAGAACGUCGUGAGACAGUUUGGUUCCUAUCUACCGUUGGAGGAACAUCAUAGCUGCAGAGCCUUCCCUUCAAAAGGUGGCUCAUUGUGCGCUGUUGAUGAAAAAAGAAUUGAGAGGCGCUGCCCUUAGUACGAGAGGACCGGGGCAGGUAAACCUCUAGUGUACUGACUGUCGCACCAGCGGCAUCGCCAGGAAGCCACGUUUGCACGGGAGAACUGCUGAAAGCAUAUAAGCGGGAAACCUUUCUCUAUACAAGUUCUUAGAAUCGGUGAAAGACUCUCACCUUAAUAGGCGCAUGGUGCAAGUGCUGAAAGGCACGAAGCUUUUGCGUACUAAUCUG